CUGUACAGGCCACUGCCUUGCU
rnacentral:ncRNA from 2 species